rnacentral:misc_RNA from 1 species
UCUCCGUAGGUGAACCUGCGGAAGGAUCAUUACAGAGUUCAUGCCCUCACGGGUAGAUCUCCCACCCUUGAAUAUUUAUACCUUAGUUGCUUUGGCAGGCCGUGGAAACACCAUGGGCUCCGGCUUAUGCGUGCCUGCCAGAGGAAACAAACUCUGUUUUUAGUGAUGUCUGAGUACUAUAUAAUAGUUAAAGCUUUCAACAACGGAUCUCUUGGUUCUG